GAUGAACGCUGGCGGCGUGCCUAAUACAUGCAAGUCGAGCGAACAGACGAGGAGCUUGCUCCUCUGACGUUAGCGGCGGACGGGUGAGUAACACGUGGAUAACCUACCUAUAAGACUGGUAUAACUUCGGGAAACCGGAGCUAAUACCGGAUAAUAUAUUGAACCGCAUGGUUCAAUAGUGAAAUACGGUUUUGCUGUCACUUAUAGAUGGAUCCGCGCCGCAUUAGCUAGUUGGUAAGGUAACGGCUUACCAAGGCAACGAUGCGUAGCCGACCUGAGAGGGUGAUCGGCCACACUGGAACUGAGACACGGUCCAGACGCCUACGGGAGGCAGCAGAAGGGAAUCUUACGCAAUGGGCGAAAGCCUGACGGAGCAACGCCGCGUGAGUGAUGAAGGUCUUCGGAUCGUAAAACUCUGUUAUUAGGGAAGAACAAAUGUGUAAGUAACUAUGCACGGCUUGACGGUACCUAAUCAGAAAGCCACGGCUAACUACGUG
rnacentral:rRNA from 1 species